rnacentral:rRNA from 1 species
GAUUAAACUGAAGAGUUUGAUCCUGGCUCAGAUUGAACGCUGGCGGAAUGCUUUACACAUGCAAGUCGAACGGCAGCACGGGAGCUUGCUCCUGGUGGCGAGUGGCGAACGGGUGAGUAAUACCUAGGAACAUGUCCAGUAAUGGGGGAUAACGCAGCGAAAGCUGUGCUAAUACCGCAUACGCCCUACGGGGGAAAGCGGGGGAUUCGCAAGAACCUCGCGUUAUUGGAGUGGCCUAGGCCUGAUUAGCUAGUUGGUGAGGUAAAGGCUCACCAAGGCGACGAUCAGUAGCUGGUCUGAGAGGAUGAUCAGCCACACUGGAACUGAGACACGGUCCAGACUCCUACGGGAGGCAGCAGUGGGGAAUUUUGGACAAUGGGGGAAACCCUGAUCCAGCCAUUCCGCGUGAGUGAAGAAGGCCUUCGGGUUGUAAAGCUCUUUCAGGAGGGAAGAAACGGUUACGGAUAAUACCUGUGACUAAUGACGGUACCUUCAGAAGAAGCACCGGCUAACUACGUGCCAGCAGCCGCGGUAAUACGUAGGGUGCGAGCGUUAAUCGGAAUUACUGGGCGUAAAGCGUGCGCAGGCG